rnacentral:rRNA from 1 species
AUUCCAGCUCCAAUAGCGUAUAUUAAAGUUGUUGCGGUUAAAAAGCUCGUAGUUGGAUUUCUGCCGAGGACGACCGGUCCGCCCUCUGGGUGAGUAUCUGGCUCGGCCUGGGCAUCUUCUUGGAGAACGUAUCUGCACUUGACUGUGUGGUGCGGUAUCCAGGACUUUUACUUUGAGGAAAUUAGAGUGUUUCAAGCAGGCUUACGCCUUGAAUACAUUAGCAUGGAAUAAUAAGAUAGGACCUCGGUUCUAUUUUGUUGGUUUCUAGAGCUGAGGUAAUGAUUAAUAGGGAUAGUUGGGGGCGUUUAUAUUCCGUUGUCAGAGGUGAAAUUCUUGGAUUUACGGAAGAUAAACUACUGCGAAAGCACUCGCCAAGGAUGUUUUCAUCG